AAGGCUCUAGCUUAAUUAAAGUGUCUGGGUUGCAUUCAGACGAUGCAGGGUAGUAUCCUGCGGGCUUUA
rnacentral:tRNA from 1 species